AGUGAACGCUGGCGGUAGGCCUAACACAUGCAAGUCGAACGGCAGCACAGUAAGAGCUUGCUCUUACGGGUGGCGAGUGGCGGACGGGUGAGGAAUACAUCGGAAUCUACUUUUUCGUGGGGGAUAAUGUAGGGAAACUUACGCUAAUACCGCAUACGACCUACGGGUGAAAGCAGGGGAUCUUCGGACCUUGCGCGAUUCAAUGAGCCGAUGUCGGAUUAGCUAGUUUGCGGGGUAAAGGCCCACCAAGGCGACGAUCCGUAGCUGGUCUGAGAGGAUGAUCCGCCACACUGGAACUGAGACAAGGUCCAGACUCCUACGGGAGGCAGCAGUGGGGAAUAUUUGGCAAUGGGCGGAAGCCUGAUCCAGCCAUGCCGCGUGGGUGAAGAAGGUCUUCGGGUUGUAAAAGCCUUUUUUUUGGGAAGAAAAGCAGCAGGUUAAUACCCCGCUGUUCUGACGGUACCCAAAGAAUAAGCACCGGCUAACUUCGUG
rnacentral:rRNA from 1 species